ACGGGAGGCAGCAGUGGGGAAUAUUGGACAAUGGGCGCAAGCCUGAUCCAGCCAUGCCGCGUGUGUGAAGAAGGCCUUCGGGUUGUAAAGCACUUUUGUCCGGAAAGAAAAGCAUUCGGUUAAUAACCGGGUGUCAUGACGGUACCGGAAGAAUAAGCACCGGCUAACUUCGUGCCAGCAGCCGCGGUAAUACGAAGGGUGCAAGCGUUACUCGGAAUUACUGGGCGUAAAGCGUGCGUAGGUGGUUCGUUAAGUCUGAUGUGAAAGCCCUGGGCUCAACCUGGGAAUGGCAUUGGAUACUGGCGACCUAGAGUGCGGUAGAGGGGUGUGGAAUUCCCGGUGUAGCAGUGAAAUGCGUAGAUAUCGGGAGGAACAUCUGUGGCGAAGGCGACACCCUGGACCAGCACUGACACUGAGGCACGAAAGCGUGGGGAGCAAACAGGAUUAGAUACCCUGGUA
rnacentral:rRNA from 1 species